rnacentral:rRNA from 1 species
CGGACGGGUGAGUAACGCGUGAGCAAUCUGCCCAUAUCAGGGGGAUAACAGUUAGAAAUGACUGCUAAUACCGCAUAUGACCACGAAAAGGCAUCUUUUUGAGGUGAAAGAUUUAUCGGAUAUGGAUGAGCUCGCGUCCCAUUAGGCAGUUGGUGGGGUAACGGCCCACCAAACCUACGAUGGGUAGCCGACCUUAGAGGGUGAUCGGCCACAUUGGAACUGAGACACGGUCCAAACUCCUACGGAAGGCAGCAG